AUGAAAACAUUAAACUUUUUUUGUGUUUUGUGUCUGGGUUCUGGGGAAACCCAGACACAAAACUCCCAUUAUUUCACCAAAGCCACAAAAUGAAUCUUUAAUGUACAUCAUUUCUGCACAGUGUUGUUUAUGCUGAGGAAAUUCACCAGCGCAAUCCCCUGUUAAUUUCUGACCCUGCUGUAAACGUUAAAAACACGUGACUGCUUCAACUCACUCCAGACAGACGAAUGCAGAUAUUUGAACUGUUUUAACCCCUCGUUUUAACUCUCUCAUAUCACUGUUAUACUCUCUUCACUAACUACUAUAUUCUCUAGAACUCAAUCUAGCAUGCUCAGGUUCUCUGUGACUUUUGAACUUCAGCUGCUUUGAAAUGUUUUAUUGUUCUCAUGAUUAUUGAGCUCGAUGACCUCCUCAAUAUUCAUGAUUACAAGCUGACUCUCGUUUAAGCUUUUCUGGCCGUCAUAAAGUCGCAGCUGCAAAUGUAGAAGUGCUAAAAACAGAAGAGCUCAGUGGAUUGAGAAAAAAAUAACAUGCAUUUGGUUUCCUCUUUUUUUUUUUUACUCAACAUCUCACGAAGCUCUCGCUCUACAGUCCAUAUCAACAUACAAUACGUCAACACAAAAUAGUUUACAAUUGCAAAGAGAUAUGUGCUUUCAGGGGCGUCGGACUGGGGUAAAACCAGUACUGAUUACCAGGGUCCCAAAGGAAGAGAGGGCCCUUGAAAAGUCUGGAAUAUAUUUUAUUUUACCUGGAUAUUUUCAUGGGUAUGCAUAGGGCCCGGGAUCUUGUGCAACGCCCCUGUGUGCUUUAUACAACCCAUAAAACUCACAAAGUCAAACAUAAGUGAAAAAAGCACUUGGUGGUCCAGGUAAAGUGCGAUCUUGUUAUUGUGAGACUAGCGACUUUGUACCUGCGCGUAAACACACUCCUCCUGAUGCUGCUGUGGAGCGACUGAGUGGUUCGGAGUGAACGUCACCUCACCAUACUGGACCUCCUCUUCCUCCUCCUUCUUCUUCUUCCUCUUUG
ensembl:lncRNA